CAUCACAGCGUCGUAACGACUGCAUUGUAGACCCUGCGCAAAAGUCCGAAAAGUCUCGCCGAGACUGCGAGCGUGUUCAGAUGUGUUUUGCGAGGAUACGUCGGCAACCCCUGAAAAAUCUUUCUAAACAAAGCACAUCCGAACCAGCUCACGGUCGAUUGUUAUUGUAAAUUCGAUUUUACAUUCCAAGUUUGAUUUUGUAUUCUAAAGUUUCAAAUGUGCGACGGUUUUUGAUCGUCCUCAGUACCUCGCAAGGGAACGGAAACCAGCUGAGCCUGAAAUCGAUUGCAUGUUUUUUUUGGAGCACGUGGUUGCCAUGUCUCGAGUAAAACAGAAUCUUGAAAUUAAAUAAAGAUGCUUGAUUUUCCAGUUGCUUUCCAAUACUCUCGAGUGCUCGUCAUAUGCCUGGCAAACGAAUGUGAUUAUCAUUCGUAUACGUCACCUAUAGACCCAAUGAGGUUUCUACAAUAAGCUAUUAGUCAGUGUCACAAGUCGUAAGCCGUAAAAAUUGAUCAAUCACAGUCGAAUAUUCUCUUCACAUUCGCCAUCGACUAAUAGCUUAUUGUAGAAAGUUCAUAAGAGUUAUUCUGUGAUUCUCGUUGAAGAUUACGAAUUUAAAAAUACUUAUAUACGGUGUACAGGUUGUAUGAGUUGUGACCUUCUAACUAUGUGAUUUUUUAUUAUAAGGAAAAGUUUCAAUAAAAAUAUUACGAACUUUUAAA
rnacentral:lncRNA from 13 species